UGGGAAUUGGUUUUCCCAAGAGUUUGAAUGUUAUGCAUGUUAUUUUGUUGGCUAAAUGUUUCUUAUACAUUUUAUAUUACAUAUUACAAUUUUGGAUACUAUAUAAUAUUUUGUAUCAGAAUAUUAAAGAAGAAAUUUGUUUAA
rnacentral:lncRNA from 1 species